AAACACUAUGAUAAAAAAAACAAUUGAUAUCAGGUGUAUGUAAUCAUUUUAGAUACACAUUUAUAAAGAUAAAGUUAUCGAGACAUUAUUAAACAGGUAUAAAAGUAAUGUUUCUUGCUUAAAAUUAUAAGAAUUAAAUUUAAAUUUCGAACGUUGGAUUUAGGUUAGGUUGUUCUACGUUAGAUUUUAUAUUUUUAUAAAAAAACGAUUUAAGUGAUAAAAAUAAUUUUUUAUCAGCAAUUGCUUAUGAAAUAAAAUUAUUAAUGGAAACGAUUACUACGAUAUUUCAAGGAAAAUUUCAUUCACAUUCGAAUAGCUUGUGACUAUAUUCGAUGUACCAUCUGUAUCCUCGUACAAGUAUAAUAAACAUACUAAAACUAUCCACUCAACGAGUUACGAAAAUAACAGCGUGAACAGAAGCAGAAAUUUUCACUAACGAAUUAUUUUCGUAUCACUUUUGUAUUUUGCUAAUAUUAAAAUAUUAUAAUAAACGUUACAUUUUCGUCAAAUAAAAAAAAUAUUUAUGUUUUAAAUCAACAAAAUAUUGCUUAUUCAAAAUUUAUCAUCUUAACCUAUACACAUUUAUAAAAGCGGUCGACAACUGUUAAGCAAUCGAAAAUAUUCAAUUUCAUAAAAUUCAGAGUAUUACGCGUUUAUGACAAUACUUAUUCAUUAUGGUUUAUUUGAAAUUACGUAUCGAGGUCACUGAUUCGCGUGACUAAGGUAUCCAAGAAUGCACAAGAUCUCCCGUGGCUGGUUAGAGCGCUCUAGAACGCUGAAGAUCAAGAGAGCAAAGAGUCGGUUUAAACCGUGUGCCCCGUCCUAACGUCGACUCUAUUAAUACCCGCGCCUUGUCGUCGCGUCUCGAGAACGUGUGCACAGAUAUAGAAGCAUUAAUACGACUGUCCUUUUUAUUAAAAAAUCUUCUGUUCUUAGCACCGACAAAUCGAACAAUCAUUUUCGAGUUGAUCUCGAUACGACCAGUACACGAGAGAAAUAAAUAAAUCGAAUACUAGAAAAUAAUCGAAACAAUUUUAACGCUUUAAAAAUCGAGGUAUCGAAAUCUAUUUCGAGAUUGUUAUUCUACAAAAAUAGAAACAUCGAGGGUCUAUCGUUACGAUUGAUUAAAUUAAUUUAAGAAGUUUAAGUAAUAAAAUAUAUAUUUAAAUGUAAUCUGGCGUGUAUUUUCCCUUCGCGAAUUUUAUUAUUUCAAGACAAAAUUGCAACGACACGAUCUUCGAUAUCAACUUCGAGAAACGAAAGAAAGGAGUUGCAGCUUUAACAGGACAUAUCGUAGAUGUCGUACAAGUGCAUUCGCAGUCAAUUAUAUGAUCAGCUACGACCAUUCGCUUCAUGAAGCUAUUAGGAACAAGUUAAUAGAAUCAUCGCACCGUUCCAAUGUACGGUGGGUUAUGGUAAACAGAAAGAGGAAAAGGUACAAACUGUUACAAUUCUAACUUAGCCUACAGAUGUCGUACGAAGUCUUAAACUCGAUCGAGUCAGUGCAAAUACUUAAUCGACAAUGUCAUUUCACCCUUGUGAAAAGUUCUUUCACCGAUUCGAAUCGAUAAUUGAUCAAAAGAUCGCUGUCAAAAUGCAACUAUAUUUAGCGAUUUGUCGAACAAGUCUUAAAUUAGAAAUGCAACGAUACUGAGCAAAAAGAAAAAAGCGUAAAGAUCGUUUCCCGAGGACAGCUAUAUCCUAACCAUAAAUUCUAUUUUCUUCGUAUUCACUCACCUUUGACGAUAAAAAGUUAAAAGACGGAUUCAAGUCUCGCGAGAUUAAAAAUAUCAGCAGCAGGAGAUCAAUCGGGCGACCACGGUCCAAGAAGGAAGUUGUUUGAUAAGAUUACGAUGCUAUCGUAAAGAAAUUCGACUUUGGAAAUUGGAAAAAGGAAAAGGCAAUUUUCAAAUGGAUGGCAAAGAAGAUUUUUGGUAUAUAUAUACGAAUAUUCGUUUCUCAACAAAAGUCCUCGAGGGCAAUAUUAUCGAUGCAUUAUUCGAUUCAAAAAGUAAACUCGUAUAAAAGACCUUGGAACAUAUAACUGCUCGUUAAAGAAUAUCGCAAUACGAUGAACACUGACUGCAAUGGGCACUGACGUAAUCAUCACAUUUAUGUAGACGCUCAUAUUUGAUGCGAGUCUACACAUACGUAUGCGUAAAUUAUAAUAGUCGUAUUCAAUUCCUAUAUCUAGAUUCACGUAUCAAUACAAUUUUUAAAAAAAAAAAAAUCUCUUUCAUCAAAUUUGAAAUCUUGAAUAUGAUAUAAAAU